rnacentral:rRNA from 1 species
UACAGAGGUCUCAAGCGUUGUUCGGAUUCAUUGGGCGUAAAGGGUGCGUAGGCGGCGCGGUAAGUCGGAUGUGAAAUCUCGGAGCUUAACUUCGAAACUGCAUUCGAUACUGCCGUGCUUGAGGACUGGAGAGGAGACUGGAAUUUACGGUGAGCGGUGAAUGCGUAGAUAUCGUAAGGAAGACCAGUGGCGAAGGCGGGUCUCUGGACGUUCCUGACGCUGAGGCACGAAGGUCAGGGGAGCAAA